AGUCAACCUUCACACCUUCAGCAACGCGCUUUAAAAGCUUCAAUGAAGAGACUCGUUUGUGUACUGAAGGAAUCCGCCACACAACUUCAGGAAACAUAAGGUUUAAAAAGUUUGCUCUUAAAUCACAGAUGUAACCUCAACAGCAUAUGUACGAAGCCUACAGACGGAGUGUGUCUGUGUUACAGGCGUGUGGGUCCCGAGAGACGUCAAAGAUGCAAAUACACAACUCGGAGCCGAUCUGCACCAAGACAUUGUCUUCAUUCCACUGUAAAGAUGAGUUCAUGGCUGCUUGCUGUGUCAUGGCAUUUUAACACCAUCAUAAAGUCAUUACAGAUCCAAGAGGAACAACAAUGGACAUUUCAGAUAGAUGAUGAAAGGAACAGAUGGUGUGUAGUGGAUCUGAUGUCAGCUCCAGUGAGCCUGCUGUCAUAUCAUUUGCACCUUCUCAUAUCCGAUGGCAUUCGGCUGUGGAGUCGCCUGCACACCGGACCACAGUCACUGCCAGAGGAGUGACAGGGUGCAAAGUGCAUCCCAUCAGAAAUGUAUAAAAAUAACACUAUACGCUGCUGAGUUUCAUCUUUUGGUGUGUUAGAUGGAUUCCUCUGAAUUAGCUUGAUGCUUGUUGCAUCAGUGGUGUGCAAAAACAAAAAAAAUGUGAUGAAAAGCAUUUUUGCAAAACUUUUGUGUCUUGCAGGCUCCAUUCUUGGCAAAUUAAUAGCAUGUUAGCUGUGGUUUUGUAGAGGUCCCUGAAGGUGAAGUACUGUAUGUAGUUCACUAUGGUAAAAUAGGCCUACUUUGUCCUAUUUAUUUUGUACCUGUAUCUUUCUCAAAAAAAUGUUGACU